CAAGUCGAACGCGAAAGUCCCGCAAGGGAUUAGUAGAGUGGCAAACGGGUGAGUAACGCGUGGGUGACCUGCCUUCGAGCGGGGGAUAACGUUCCGAAAGGGACGCUAAUACCGCAUAACAUCCUGCUUUUUAACAAGUGGAGAUCAAAGCUGGGGCUCGCAAGACCUAGCACUCGAAGAGGGGCCCGCGUCUGAUUAGCUAGUUGGUGAGGUAACGGCUCACCAAGGCGACGAUCAGUAUCCGGCCUGAGAGGGCGGACGGACACACUGGGACUGAGACACGGCCCAGACUCCUACGGGAGGCAGCAGUGGGGAAUUGUUCGCAAUGGGCGCAAGCCUGACGACGCAACGCCGCGUGGAGGAUGAAGAUCUUCGGGUCGUAAACUCCUUUCGAUCGAGACGAACGGCCUCCGGGUGAACAAUCCGGAGGAGUGACGGUACCGAGAGAAGAAGCCCCGGCUAACUCCGUGCCAGCAGCCGCGGUAAUACGGGGGGGGCAAGCGUUGUUCGGAAUUACUGGGCGUAAAGGGCUCGUAGGCGGCCAACUAAGUCAGACGUGAAAUCCCUCGGCUUAACCGGGGAACUGCGUCUGAUACUGGAUGGCUUGAGUGUAGGAGAGGGAUGCGGAAUUCCAGGUGUAGCGGUGAAAUGCGUAGAUAUCUGGAGGAACACCGGUGGCGAAGGCGGCAUCCUGGACUACUACUGACGCUGAGUGAGCGAAAGCCAGGGGAGCAAACGGGAUUAGAUACCCCGGUAGUCCUGGCCCUAAACGAUGAAUGCUUGGUGUGACGGGUAUCGAUCCCUGUCGUGCCGAAGCUAACGCAUUAAGCAUUCCGCCUGGGGAGUACGGUCGCAAGGCUGAAACUC
rnacentral:rRNA from 1 species